UGCACUGGGAUUGCAGGUAGUGCUACCACAGCUCUGUGUGAGCACCGGUCAUUCUGUGGUUGCAGUGCAGAUGCAGCCAGCGAGACAAGGCAGCGUAGAGUAGCCAGUGGGGACUGGCAGUUGGCAGUGGCUUGUGACAGUGGGUCUUAGCACAGAGGUGAGAUUUUUGGCACUAAAGUAAAGCGAGAGGCCAGGCGAUAGUGAAGAGUGGCAACUGGCAGUGCAGCCUGGCUGUGGCUGCUGGCAUCGAAUGAGGCUUUGGCAGUAAGAGGAGGCCGUGUGCUCCCUGUCAAGAAAAAGUGAAUUAACAGUAAGAUGUAGUGCCUUUGCUGACACCGGUGAAGUAUUUUUCUCAGCAGUGCACAUCUCCUUGCUAAUGGGUCUCAACUCCUAAGCUCAUAUGUGUCCUAUCCUCUCAAUUUCUUGGUUCCCCAGGAAAUUCUACGCAACUGAACCUUAAAAGUUUGUGCUCUCUGUGCUGUACUGUAUCUCUCAAGCAGAAACGUGUGAUCAGAAAGCAAAUUUAGCUCCUUUUCAUUCGUGUCUGAAGAGCUUAUACAACCAGACUUGUUAAAACGAUUGGAGAAGCACUGCUGAAUCCAGGUCCCCUUCCUGUCUGUUGAGCAGGGGUCACACUCAAGCAGAAGAGGAUGGUGCAGGUGAUGGGAGCUCAUGCUGACCCUGCAGGCCUGGCAGGUGACAGCAGUGCGAGGUUGGCUGGCUGUUCUCACCCCUCCUGCUGCUGCUACUUCAGCUUCUCCCUUCUGUGCAGAAGAAGUGAUUGGUGCAGGAGGUCGUUCUAUGGCCUGGGUUCUUUCUGCCUGUUACCUGCCUUGUUCUACCUGUUGGCCCAUCAGCAGACACCAGUUUCUGCCUUCUUUAUGUCUGUCCUUUUUUGUGUCCUGUUGUGCUAAGAAAGGCCUGUAAUGAGGCUUUAAAGUAGAGACAUUCUCUUAGCUAUGUGUGCACUGUCUCCUUGUCCUGUUCAGGGAUCCGGUGGGGUGGAAACCCUGCCAUGAGCAGGAGCAUGCUGUGAGCAAGAGGCCCUGCUCAAACCCUGGGAUUUAACAACAGCUAAAGCCUUCCAUGGGAGCCAGAGUGCUGACUGCAACUAACCAUUCAAGGGCAGAGAUACUGUGUGAGCACAAAACGGGUUUGCUGUGAUGUGCAGGCUGCCUUUGCAUGAAGUGAGAAACCGCUUGGCUUAAUCAGAGUUAUUCAGGGAAGUCAAGGCUAAAGGAAAAACUGUUUGGGUAGCACGUUUAGAAAUACAUUUCAGUAUUGAUGCAGUAAAACUGGGACCAAUAAAGAAGGCAUACUUAGGAGCUGGUUAUUAAGUAGGUUCCAUUUUUUCUGGGAGAUGAGAGGCUGGAGAGCAGCCCUACAGAUCGGGAUCUGAGGGUUCCAGUUGCCAUCGGGUUCCAGUUGCCAUCAAGCUGAACAUGAGCCAGCAGUGUGCCCUGGUAGCCAAAGGGCCGACCGUGCCCUGGGGUGCACCAGGCCCGGUGCUGCCAGCUGGGCAGGGGAGGGGUUGUCCCACUCUGCUCUGUGCUGUGUAGCCUCACCUUGAGUACUGGUGCAGUUAUCCAAAGGAGGGCUAUGAGGGUGGUGAAGAGUCUAGAGGGGAAGGUGUUUGAGGAGCAGCUGACCUGUGGCCCCAGGCUGCCCAGGAUGCUGGAGGUUGUACUUCUUGGGACAACCCACUGGACCCUCAUCGUGUCUGCGUCCAAAAAACCUGGCAUGGAAGGGUGGGGUGAAAAGGGAUGUGCUUGUAGCCUAAUACUGAGCUGGGAAGCGAAGGCAAUUGUAAUGUAGUAGAGCUUGUGUAUGAUUUGUGUAUGGUUUAUGCGCGAUUUAUACUUUUUCUUCAUAGUAACACAAUUGUGGAUUACUACUACUAGUGCUAACAAGCAGUAGGAUUGUAACUCAGUGUUGAUUGUUGGUAGUGAUACAUCUGUGAAUGAAUGCUGCUAAUAUUAGUUGUGUUUUUCAUUAGCCAGUUGAGAUACUGUCAGUCACUUGCUGGUGUGAUGCUCAGUCAGUAGGCACUAUCAAGCAGCCACGUCUCCAGUCUGAAGGGGAAGAGUCAGACACAUAAUAUGCUUUGGUCAUUAUUUGAAAAGCUAUUUUACGUCCUCCAAGCUAAAAAGGUUUUAUUUUCUAAAUCCUUCCCAACUAGUUAUUUACAACAAACAAGAAGAUGCAACAAGGAGUACUUCUGUGUCCUGUGAUGUGAGACUUCAUGCAGCAUUGCCUUCGUGCUUCUGUUCUAAUAUCAUUAUGGUGUUAUAGUUGUGGAAUCAAGAGAGCUUUCAGAGGUGCAAGCCAAAAGGCUUCACAGGGUCUAAAUGUGGAAGUUUUGUGGUGGCUCAAUACUGCAGUUGAAGACACUGAAAAACCCAGAGGUUUUCUUGCCUCUUACGAGGUGCUGGAAUGCUUCUGUAGCAGAGACCACAGCUACACGCAGGUUGCUUAUUGCAGGUAGUGCAUAGGGUACUAGAAAAGCUGGGCAUGGUAAGGCCUGCAACCUGGCAGUGAAAUUACCCAUGUGCAACUGAUGAUACAUUUAGACAAAGCGCACUGAAACAGAGAAACUGAGACCAAGGAAAAAAAGCAUGUUAAAAAUCUAUUUGAAUUUAAUUCUGACAGCUUAUAUGACUUCAGAGGAGACGAGAGACAGGAGUGUAUUGCUUAUUCAGUCGAUGCUGUCUUUUUGCUUGUUUCUUUCGGUGUUGUUUCUUGUUUUAUUCUCCUCCUUCAGAAUUUCAUGUCCUGACAACAGAAAGCAAAGCAUAGGCUUACCUGCUUUGCUCAAUACAGACUGCAAUCAGCAGCAUUCUUUCAAACUCCCGUCUGAAGCUUGCAAAGCAAAUGCUUCAUCCUGCCAGGCAGUUGUUUAUCUAUCACAUGGAAGGCUGUUAUAAUUCCAGUUCAGCGCAGCCAGGAGCAUGUAAAGUUGAAGUAAACUCAUAAUGCAAAUUAACAAGGAAGUACAAAUGAGGUGAUGAUUUUUUUUCUUUUAAUUAAACUUGAUUGAAGGUGUAAGAGCUGAUUCCUGCUGCUAGUCCUGCGUGUUCAAGCAUCAUAAGCUAAAAUACAUGAAUAUCAUUUGGAGGUAGGAGCAAAAAUCUCCAGGACUCAUCUCACUGUGCUGCACACAGUUCCCUGGUUGCUGAUUGCCUCUCCCUGAUCCCAUUAAUCUUGCACUCUGCUGCACAUUGGCUCUGCUUCAGCAGGACGGAUGGAGAACAACACUGUUGUAGCUGAUUCUGUAGCAUGAUUAGGCAUUUUGCUGAGAAGUACAUAUUCAAAUUCUUUAGGCUGAAGAGGACCUAAAACACAGUUUUCUCACUUCCCAGGGAAGUGUUCUUGCCUCUGUGAUACCAUGUCGUCUGGUAUAGGGUAUUGGAACUGCAUUAAAGAAAAACAAAGGAUAACACUAAGGCUGUGUUCAAGGAGGUGGAGAAAUGCAGAAGGAACACUGCAGAGAAUUUUGCACAGGUUCACGGAAUAAUAAUAAUAAAAGAUGCGGUAGUCUCUGGUCAUCCCUACAUCACAUACCCAAGUAAAGACGUGAGAGAGAAAGGAAAUUAGAAGAGGCAAGGAAAGAAGUGAAAUCCCUGCAUUAUUCAUCAGUUUCUGUGUUCAUGCAGGUUGCAGUCUUUUUGAUGCAGACCAUCAACUUAUUGUCAAUCAGCCAAUCUAUCUACAUGACUAUUUUAACCCUCUUGGGUAAAUUAGUAAGAUUAAUACAGGUCACUUGAUUUAAAUUAAAAUUAAU
ensembl:lncRNA